rnacentral:lncRNA from 1 species
GAAAUUGUGUUGACGCAGUCUCCAGGCACCCUGUCUUUGUCUCCAGGGGAAAGAGCCACCCUCUCCUGCAGGGCCAGUCAGAGUGUUAGCAUAGCCUGGUACCAGCAGAAACCUGGCCAGGCUCCCAGGCUCCUCAUCUAUGGUGCAUCCAGCAGGGCCACUGGCAUCCCAGACAGGUUCAGUGGCAGUGGGUCUGGGACAGACUUCACUCUCACCAUCAGCAGACUGGAGCCUGAAGAUUUUGCAGUGUAUUACUGUCAGCAGUAUGGUAGCUCA